UUUGAAUGGAUCUCUAUCUUUCUUUUUCUUUCUCUUUCUUCUUAGAAGGAUGAAGGUAAUCGUCGCUUGCUCGCUCGCUCGCUUACUUGCUUGUUUUCGUCUCUCGUCGUCCAGGUUGCACCCAAUAUUUUAUUGGUCGAGGCGGCCGCCAUUAAACAAUCCAUAAAUGCGCAUACGUAAAACACUCCCGAGUAGCGACGACGACGGCGACGGUGAUCGUGACGGCGACAGUGACGGUGACGGUGACGUUACCGUCGGUUGCGGAACGAACGCGAGCGGAGAGCAACUGAACGGACACGGUUCUCGUACACCGAACGAUUGCACGAUUUAUUCAUAUUCAAAUGUGCGCCAGUUUACGAGCGUUUGGUAUGCGUUAGCGCGUGCCGAUGCGCUCGUCUCUUCGAUCACUUCGACGAAUUUCUUUUUACGAGAUGAAAGACUACAGGAUUUCUUCAGGUUCGUGCGCGCGCGCGCUUCUGUGUAUGCGCGUUUACACUUUGCUUCCGCAUAAAAGAGCUAAAAACAAUUAUGUUCUACAUAUAUACCGAGUAAGUCCGUUGUAAGGAUUAUAAGGACAAAAGAAAAGAAGAAGAAGAAGAAAUAAAAAAGAACAAGAAAGAAAAUAAAAGAAAAAAAGAAAAAAA